rnacentral:tRNA from 1 species
GCCUGUCUGGCCCAGUCAGUAGAGCACGAGACUCUUGAUCUCAGUGUUGUGAGUUUGAGCCCCAUGUUGGGUG